GCGCGAAUCUCGAUGAGGUCCAUCAUGAUUCUACGCGAAACUCAAAGCGUCGUCUCAUGGAGACUUGUUUCUUCUACUUGCGUGCUCGAGUCCUGGUUUCGUUUGGUGGCCGAGCGACAUGACGGAGGAACAACUUGGAGGACAUUUGAAUUCCACGCUGUGAGCCAAGAUGGGAGGACUGGUGUGUGGGUAUCACAUGGGUAUUGGUAACCACUCUUUGCAUCAUUCCCCUGGUGACUCCCAGUGAAAGGCUGCUGACUACCUCUAUCUUUGAGACUAAGUUUUGACUGUUGGAGAAAAGGAAAGCAAAUCUAUCAACUGCGGAACCAAACCUGAUCAUACCGGCAUCUUCUUUUUAUCAUGCAUUUGCAGCUCUGGACUUUCUUUAUCCGUCCAUCGAGGACUGUGACACUGAACAAUGCCGUUUUUCCUUGGGCUGGCUUUGGGUAUAGAUCUCUUCUGUAGGUGGUGAGCAAACAUAAAAGAUGAAGACUCUUCCUGCAAUCAGCAUGUUUGUCAUGUGUUACUGUUGGUCUUCCCAAAUGCUUGGCAACGCACUCGGAUUAAACUUUGACCUUCACAAGAAACUUCUCAUUUUUCAUCAUAUGUGGCAUAUCUAAUGUUAAGGUUCACGAGUGGUCCGCUGCUCAUGGCAUUUACCUUCGUUCUUUGUUGAAUUCAUACGGUGCUUAAC